rnacentral:rRNA from 1 species
AUGGCGGCGGCAGCCGAAAGAGAUCAUGGCAGGGAAAGAAAGACACUAGUACUCAACUGUACGGUAGUUUUCUUGUUUAAACACCUCCAAGAUCCAAGCAAAACCUCUGCCUGGAAACAUAAUGUUGUGGGGAAAUAUACCCAAGACAAAACCUGGCAGGCUGUGGUGAUCAGUAGGGAAACUACCACAAAAGUGACAAGGUUUCAGCCACUGAGCUACCAAUGGGACUCGCCUUCCCUGGAAAAGGAGAUCCCAGUAAUCAGCACACUGGUAAAGCCAUUGCACCAAAGGGUUAACUGUUGA